UACGGAGGGUGCAAGCGUUGCUCGGAAUUAUUGGGCGUAAAGGGUAGGUAGGUGGUCUCAUUUGUCUGGGGUGAAAGCCUUGAGCUUAACUCAAGAAGUGCCCCAGAAACGGUGAGACUCGAGUCCUGGAGAGGUGAGUGGAAUUCCCGGUGUAGCGGUGAAAUGCGCAGAUAUCAGGAGGAACACCGGUGGCGAAGGCGGGUCUCUGGGCCGAUACUGACGCUGAGGAGCGAAAGCGUGGGAGCGAACAGG
rnacentral:rRNA from 1 species